rnacentral:rRNA from 1 species
UACGUAGGGGGCAAGCGUUGUCCGGAAUCAUUGGGCGUAAAGAGCGUGUAGGCGGUCCGGUAAGUCCGUUGUGAAAGUCAGGGGCUCAACCCUUGAAUGCCGGCGGAUACUGUCGGGCUAGAGUCCGGAAGAGGCAAGUGGAAUUCCCGGUGUAGCGGUGAAAUGCUUAGAUAUGACACAGAACACCGAUUGCGAAGGCAGCUCACAAAACUGUAACUGACGCUGAGGCACGAAAGCGUGGGGAGCGAACAGG